UACGGGGGGGCAGCAGUGUUGUCGGAUUUACUGGGCGUAAAGGGCGCGUAGGCGGCCACCGCAAGUCGACUGUGAAAUCUCCGGGCUUAACCCGGAAAGGUCAGCCGAUACUGCGGGGCUAGAGUGCGGAAGGGGCAACUGGAAUUCUUGGUGUAGCGGUGAAAUGCGUAGAUAUCAAGAGGAACACCUGCGGCGAAGGCGGGUUGCUGGGCCGACACUGACGCUGAUGCGCGAAAGCUAGGGGAGCGAACGGG
rnacentral:rRNA from 1 species